rnacentral:rRNA from 1 species
GUCCACGCCGUAAACGUUGGGCACUAGGUGUGGGGUCUAUUCAACGGACUCCGUGCCGUAGCUAACGCAUUAAGUGCCCCGCCUGGGGAGUACGGCCGCAAGGCUAAAACUCAAAGGAAUUGACGGGGGCCCGCACAAGCAGCGGAGCAUGUUGCUUAAUUCGAGGCAACGCGAAGAACCUUACCUGGGUUUGACAUGUAGAGAAAAGCCGUAGAGAUACGGUGUCCUUCGGGGUUCUACACAGGUGGUGCAUGGUUGUCGU